rnacentral:rRNA from 1 species
UACGUAGGGUGCAAGCGUUAAUCGGAAUUACUGGGCGUAAAGCGUGCGCAGGCGGUUGUGCAAGACAGAUGUGAAAUCCCCGGGCUCAACCUGGGAAUUGCAUUUGUGACUGUACGGCUAGAGUGUGUCAGAGGGGGGUAGAAUUCCACGUGUAGCAGUGAAAUGCGUAGAGAUGUGGAGGAAUACCGAUGGCGAAGGCAGCCCCCUGGGAUAACACUGACGCUCAUGCACGAAAGCGUGGGGGAGCAAACAGG